CCAGCAGAACAACGGCACGACGGGGGGCGUCCAGCAGAACAACGGCACGACGGGGGGCGUCCAGCAUGAGCACAAAGUACUCCUGGAUACCCAUAAAGUAGACGACUAGAUGUUGAACGGGACGAGGAAAAGUUGAACGGGACGAUGAGCGACGAGGAAAAGUUGAACGGGACGAUGAGCGACGAGGAAAAGUUCAAUGGGACGAUGAAAAGUAAAAGUUUCAACGGGACGAUGAGCGAUGAGCAGUUGUUGAACGGGACGAUGAGCGACGAGGAAAAGUUCAAUGGGACGAUGAAAAGUAAAAGUUCAACGGGACGAUGAGCGAGGAGAUAUUCAAUACUGCAUAGAUUCAUCUCGUAUAUUUCGACUGCCUUGGAGAGCUUGAUAUCGGAGACGUUAUCUUAGCAAUAUAAUAAAACGUCUAUACAUUUCUUAAAUAACAGCGUGUCAAUCCAAUGUUUGUAUUGCAAUGCUUGGCUCUUAUCAUGCAUACAUCUUCCCUUAACAGUCCAAUAAAAGCUCAUCUGGAC